UACGGGGGGGGCAAGCGUUGUUCGGAAUUACUGGGCGUAAAGGGCUCGUAGGUGGCCAACUAAGUCAGACGUGAAAUCCCUCGGCUUAACCGGGGAACUGCGUCUGAUACUGGAUGGCUUGAGUUCGGGAGAGGGAUGCGGAAUUCCAGGUGUAGCGGUGGAAUGCGUAGAGAUCUCCAAGAACACCAGUUGCGAAGGCGGCUGACUGGACCGAGAUUGACGCUGAGGCUCGAAAGCAUGGGGAGCAAACAGG
rnacentral:rRNA from 1 species